rnacentral:tRNA from 1 species
UCAUUGGUAGUUCAGUGGUAGAAUACUCGCCUUCCAUGCAGGAGACUCGGGUUCGAUUCUCAGUCAAUACA